CCGCCGGCCAGAGGUGGGAUUCCGAGGCCUCUCCAGUCUGCCAAGGGCACACCUCUGGCCUGUCUCACCCACCACGCUGGG
ensembl:miRNA